AAGUACUAGCUAGGCUUACCCAAAUGAUCUAAAAAUUUACCAGCGCAUGACCAUACUUAAGUAACUUACCUACACCAAUUUUGAGCUCAUUUCAUUCAUCCAAUCUCUCUCACUAGUUUUCCCAAGUUUCUAUUCAUAGAAGAGCAUUGUGAAGGAAGUACUACUUUGGCAUGUAAAAAUGGUAUCAAUUUUCUGCAAUGCUUUCCUACGCCCAAAUAACCAUCCUCCACAAAAUUUCAGCUCACUCCAUUCAUUAUUUUAAGCCCAGCUUCAACAUUCAUGUUUUUGUCCAGCGUGGUACUUUGCAAAGCAAGUACCACCUAGGAUCCUCCUUUUGAGCUAAAAAUUUGUGAAGACAUUCUCCUUAGUAGAUGAUCAUCCUCAGCCAAAACUCACGCCCAUUGGCCAUGUGCAUUUCCCGUACCGCUAAUCAAACACUUGGUUGCUAAUUCAUGUUUGAGCAUCGAUCGGUCUCCUCGUGAGAAUCUUAUGUUCUAAUUUUCUUCCUAGCACCAACCUGGGAAGUGCCCAACCCACUAGACAUGCCUAGGCCACCCAGAACACAUGGCAACAUUACGGUCACGCGGUGACCACGCGACGGGCAUGCGAGUUUACGCGCUCUAGAGUUGGGGCCCUCGGCCACCGCCCAAACCUUGACGUAUCGCCACCAAACCAUGUAUUUAUAAUUAAAUAGGUCCUUAUGUAACUAGAAAUGAUUUUUGGAAAAAAUAAAUAGCAAACUAUGAGGCAGCUGCAGUUCAAAUUUGACCCGCUUCCAACUGAAUCGGCGGAAAUUUGUCUUUUUCAUGAGAGGUGAAUCAAAAAAUUUUACUCCCAACCAUUUUGUCAAUUGUUCAUUAAAUAUGGCCUAGUAUUUUAUAAAAAUGAUUUGGACCAAUUUUGCAACACUUAUUUGGUAGUUCCUUCACAAAAAACCUCCUUUCGGGCACUCGAAAAAUGGAAAAUGGUUUUUUCGUCCAACGAAAAUGAAAACUUCCUUAGGCAACAUUGUUUGCCAUUCCAAUAUGAACCCUUGUGCACAAUAUGAGAUCAUUUUAACAAACUAUUCCAUGAAUGUGGUCAUAAGAUUGAUCAUUUGGCUUGAAAGCCAUUGAUCUCCACACGUGAUAGCUCGUUUCUGAGAACACUUUUUUAAAAUAAUUGCCGUAUUACAAGUUUGUUAUUUUUCCUGGGAACUUGGUCACAUAUAAUGACACAAUGCGAAGGUUUCCCAAUUUUUUGAUUUUUUUUGAAUUUUUUAUGCCCGUUUCAAAAUAUGGUCAAAACGGCGGGAAUGACAGUUCCUAGCUAGUGGUUAAAUCUUGGAAAACUUUUGGUGUUUCUAUGAUUAAAUAGAUACCUAUUUACCUAGAAAUGAUUUUUGGAAAAAAUAAAUAGCAAACUAUGAGGCAGCUGCAGUUCAAAUUUGACCCGCUUCCAACUGAAUCGGCGGGAAUUUGUCUUUUUCACCAGAGGUGGAUCAAAACUUUUGACACCCAACCAUUUUGUCAAUUGUGCAUUAAAUAUGUCCUAGUAUUUUAUAAAAAUGAUUUGGUACAAUUUUGCAACAAAUAUAUGGUAGGUUCUUCACAAAAAAACCUCAUUUCGAGCACUCGAAAAAUGGAAAAUGAAUUUUCCGUGCAACGAAAAUGAAAACUUUCUUAGGCAACAUUGUUUGCCAUUCCAAUAUGCACCCUUGUGCACAAUAUGAGAUCAUUUGAACAAACUAUGCCAUGAAUGUGGCCAUAAGAUUGAUCAUUUGGCUUGAAAGCCAUUGAUCUCCACACGUGAUAGCUCGUUUCUGAGAACACUUUUUUAAAAUAAUUGUCGUAUCACAAGUUUAUUAUUUUUCUUGGAAACUUGGUCACAUAUGAUGACAUAAUGCGAAGGUUUUCCAUUUUUUUUGAAUUUUUUAUGCCCGUUUUAAAAUGCGGUCAAAACGGCGGGAAUGACCGUUCCUAGCUAGUGGUUGAAUCUUGGAAUUUUUUUUGGUGUUUCUCUGAUAAAAUAGAUACUUAUGUACCUAGAAAUGAUUUUGGAAAAAAUAAAGAGCAAACUAGAAGGCAGCUACAGUUCAAAUUUGACCCGCUUCCAGCUGAACCGACGAAAAUUUGUCUUUUUCACGAGAGGUGGAUCAAAACUUUUUACACCCAACCAUUUGGUCAAUUGUGCAUGAAAUAUGGCCUAGUAUUUUAGAAAAAUGAUUCGGUCCAAUUUUGCAACAAAUAUAUUAUAGGUUCUUCACAAAAAAACCUCCUUUUGGGCACUCGAAAAACGGAAAAUGGUUUUUUCGUCCAAAGAAAAUGAAAACUCCCUUUGUCAAUAUUGUUUGCCAUUCCAAGAUGCAAACUUGUGCGAAAUAUGGAAUCAUUUGAACAAAUAUUUGAUAGGACUUUCACAAAAAUACUCAUUUUGAGCACUGAAAAAUGGAAUGAAUUUUUUUAUCUUGAAUCGAUCACGACCAAUUUAUAUUGGUCAUAAGGUCAUCAAAUGGUUUGCUGCGUUCUGAUUGGACCAUGAGCAUAUCACGCGGAUCACGCAUCAACCACCGUCGGAUGCUUCCGGAUCCAACGGCCCAAACCCACCCGAGCCGAAACCCUAGGUCUGUCCUCAUGGACAUUUUCCACCCACCCCCCCGCCUCCAUUCUUUCUUUCUUUCUCUCCCUCCUCCCUCAGAUCCUCUCCCCUCUCCCCCGUGCAGCGAACCCUAGCCCCUCUCUCCCCCGCACACCACUCCUCCUCCCUUCCAGAUCACAGCCGCCACCUCCUCCUUUCUAGAUCGCCACCGCCACCGUCCUUCCCUCUCCGCCUCGCCUCUGUCUCCCACCGUCUCCCCUCUCCCUCCCUCAGAUCCGCCGCCGUCCGCCUCCGCGUGGCCUCCACCUCCACCUCCAGCCCCACCGCACACCACUCCUCUCUCUCCCCCGAUUCCUUUCCAAUCCCGCUGGCUGGAGAUCCACUCGAGCUCCCCUGUGAUUCAUCUCCAAUCCUGCCGUCGUCCCCGGCUCCUCACCACAAGCUCCAGCAAGCCCACCCUUCCCGCGCCCCUCAGCAGCGGGCGCUGCGCCCUGCGGCUCACGAGGCGACGAGCUCCGCAGCGCCUCCGACGACCGCCAUGAGCCGCCACGCCCUCCUCCACUCGCUCUCCUCCAUGAGCCGUCGCCCCCAUCGAUUCCGUCCAACACCGCCGUCCCCCUCCACUCGCUCUCCUCCAUGAGCCGGAUCCCCACCUCCUCCGGCUCCCCUUCCACUCACUCUCCCGGAUUCCGCACACCCACAGCCGCCGCCCUUUCCCUCCCUUAGAUCUCGAUCUGAUCCAGAUCGAUGCCACCACAGCUUCCCGUCGCCAGCCACGCCCGGAUGGGGACUGGCGCUGCUGGCCGUGGCGGCGGCGCUCGUGGCGGCGCUCCUCUACACCGCGCCCUUCUCCAAGGUGAGCGGUGCCUCACGCCCCUCGAAUCUGCAUGCGGCGGUAUGGUGGCGGAGGCUGACGGGUGUUCGUUGUUUUUGCGCGCGUGCAGGGCCUCGGCGGGGAAGGGUGCAGAUCCGCCGCGUUGCUUCCGGAUCUGCGCCCUCGUCACGUGCGCUCGACACCAUGGAACUCGUCAACAAGGUCUUCUAUCGCCCUCCUCUCUUCUCCUUUUGAUUCGAUCUGGAUGUUGCUCACACAUGCCCGAUUUGUUUUUCUUCCUCACGCAGGUCGUCGUCAAGCCCUCGAUCUGGCUGCGACCUCCAGCGCACUCGCGCGGCUGAUGGGCAUAGGUCCAUGCACGCUGGUGAUGGCGGCUCACCAAGGUUGCUGUUGUCACCUGGACGCACGAGGCACCCGACGACCUCCUCCAUCGCCAACCACCAGCACCCGUCUGGAGGAUUUGCGUUCUAUCCCCUCCCCCACAUGAACGACCUCCUGCCUACAACCAUCGCACGCACGGGAGAGCUCAGCUCGCCUUCAUGGGCGCCCUCUUGCUGGCCACCGAUAAGUUGAUCUGUUGCCUUCUGUUUAAGACUUUGCAUUUCGGUAAUUUGGUUUGGUCGCUGGGAAUGGUAGUAUGCUGUGGUGAAUCAGAUGGGGUUCCUGGCGAUACUCUUGCUAGUUGACUAGUUAGUACUGAUAGCUAGGUGUUCUAGUUAAUCAUGUAUUUAUUUGUCUCUUAGAGGUGUCUGUACCCUGCCCGAUAGCUUAUUCUCAAUAACUGGAACCAAAUCUAUGUGUUUUCGCUAACCGGCUUCGGUUAUUGCCUUCACAUAUUGUUUUGAAUUUCAAAAUGAAUACACUCAAAGUGUUGCGACUGGUGCCUCUGUUGAAGAUUUGAAUCCUGUUUUGUGAUAGGAUUACUCAACCUGCACCUGUUUUGUCAAAGAAUUACUUAAUCUUGCACAGGACAGUGCCAAUUUUUUUCAUUUCCACCAUUUGCAAUAAAUGUUGCACCUCCUGGCACUGCCAUGUGCCAUCAUCUCGCUGUUCGUUUGUCCACUCUAGUUGAAGGGAGAUGCAUAUCUGCUUAGCAGACAAGGUGACAUACUGACAUGGCAUUGAUCUUACCCUCCCAUCAGAUCAAUGAACUAAGAACCUGGACUCUUGGGAGCCACUGUUUGAACAUGAUAGGCUAUAGCGGAAUAAAUUGCAAUAUUAUGUAUUCUUGCAUUUCAUACUUAUUAUGAACUGUUAUGAUAGGGCAUGAAGAUAGCAUGUGCUGUUAGUAUGAUAGACUCUCAGUCUGAUAGCAUGGAUCUGUUGCUCUAUUUUAUUGUGCUGAACUUUGUUGUUACCUGGAUGUUGCAGUCCUUGACUGUUCUCAUGAUGUUGUACAGGAGGCCCUUGUGGUCACCGCUCGAGGGGCUGGAGCUUGGCGGCAGCCUGGCGGAUGACGGGGGCCUGGACAGUGGCUAUUUCUGCAGCAGGAUGAUAGCUUAAAUUUUGUGAUAAUUUUGGAAUAGCUUCAGCACCUACAGUUAAUUUUGCACAUAAAGCUUGAGUAAUUUUGCACAUGAAGCUUCAGUAUUUUAGCACAUGAAGCUUCUGCUACUGUUAUUCUUGUCAUGAAUCUUCCACCAUUUUUCAGUAGCUUAAAUUUGACUUGGUGUAGUAAUCUUGGUGCUUAGUGCUGCUUGUAUCUCAUGCUAAUUGUUGCAUGAGUAGUUUCAGUAGUUUUAUAACAGCAGCAGUAGCACAAAUUUAACUGGACUGUGAUUAUAACAGCAACAGUAGUUUCAGUAGCUUAUUUAUUUAGUGACUGCAGACUGUGAUUAUACAGUAGAAGUAGUUAGUAUCGCUGUAGACUGCAUAUUAUACAGUAGAAGUAGUUAGCCAACUUCUAGGGGCUGUCUGUUCACCUGUUAGUAUCUCUGUAGACUAUACAUGCUUCAAAUGGGGAUGGCUUUUAUGCUCCCUUGAAUGCAUUUUGAUCUUAGUAGUACUUACCACACAGUAACAAAAUAAGCAACAGCCUGAGCUUUCAGGUUCAGGGUUUCUCUUGACACAUACUAGCAAGCAUGAACAUGAAGCUACGAUCUUGACACAGUACCCUAUGUAGAACUGGAUCUUAAACUGUUUGUUGAACCAGAAAUAUCAUUAAUCAAUAAAACUCUUUAUUAUAGUAUAAAAAUUUUUGAACCUCCAUACAGUUUACUGAAUUCCUAGUGGUAGUUCCAGAAUCUGAUCUGAAACUGAUCUAAAACAUUUUGAACUGGAUCUCAAACUGUCAGUUUACUGAAUUCCUAGUGGUAGUUCCAGAAUCUGAUCUGAAAUUGUUAGUGUUGUUGACCAGAACUAUGCGUUUACAAUAAAACUUUUUUGAACAUCAUAAUAUAUUUAUAUAAUAUGUCUGUUCAUAAUAUAUUGGCUCUAGUGUUUUAAUUCUUCUCUUCUGAUUCAUGUAACAGGGCGACGACCGAAGGCAUGAUGAUAGUUCUAUUGCUGUUCUAGUGUAGCGAAGGUGGCCCAGUUGACUAUGGUUGCCUAGUGAGUCGUGCAUAGGAUUUCAUCUGACUAACCUUGAUGUAAACUGCUCCUAUUGUGGAGCUUGUUAUCUGAUUGUAAACUUGAUGCUGAUCACAUUUGUAUGUGUGUUAUAUGAUGUAGCACUUUGAUGGUUGAUAAUAUUUGAAGUAUUUCGUGUGUUUUCUGUGUGCCAAAUUAAAUACCAGGUAUUUAUUUGCGUGAAAUAAAAAAAAUGAAGAAUAUUUCCCUGAUGGCUAGGACCCAGUACUAGAACCUGACAAUGGGGACCCACCUGACUAGUGAACCCAAUUUAUAAAACAAGAAAAAAAUGAAACUGUUGAGACAAAAAGGGCAUGGGCCAAAAAUAAAAAGGCUGCAAUGUUGGGCUUGGUCCAUGAAGCUGACAAAAAAAUCACAUGAAAAAAAUAUAGAAAGGCCGAAUUCUUGGGCUAGGCCCAUGUAGAAAACCGAAUUGGACCGGGUUGAAUCUUGUGCCACAUCAGCUUGCCACGCUGGAUGCCUACGUGGCCUGGGGAGGUUGCUAGUGACCAAAACGCCACAGUGGACUUAUUUUGGUCAUAAACGUUUGCGACCAUUCUAGAAGAAAGGUCGCUAUAGUUAGUUUACGACGCCCAGCUUUUGACCUUAUGUUUUUGGUCACAAAAAGGUCAUAAAUGGAAAUUUGUGACCAUUCAGUGACCAAUAGUGGUGGUCAUAAGUUGACAUAUUUCUUGUAGUGGCCGCCGUCCUUGGCUGCGGCUCUGACUUGGCCGACACUAGCCUCAAGCGGCGGCGAGGGAUCGAAGACGUAUGAGGCCCGACGGCGGCGCUCGCGUUCGCCCUCGAGUCACCGGUGCAGGGCAACGCGAGGGUACCGCUUCGUGUUCCAAAAAAAUAAAAAAAAUGAAGUGCUGGCAGGAGAGGUCUUCAGAGCAACACUGGGGUGGAGAGCGAACCAUAGGAUUACGACCGACAGAAGAUCUCUUGGCGCUUGAUGUCCCGAAAACAAUUUUUUUGGUGCUUCUAGUUUAACCGAAAACCGUGGUUCUCGAGACUUUUUUUGAAACUAUGAUGAUUUUUAUAGCAAAUUCGGAAACUAUACACCCUAAUGCAGAAAAAUCAAAAGUAUCACCCUGUCGGCCUCAUGUUGGCCGAAGAGAGACUUUUCGGCCAACCGUUGGCCAAAAAGGACUUUUCGGCCAACAGUUGGCCAAAGAGUCCCUCUUCGGCCAACACCUGCUAUACUGUUUUAGAAGAUUCAUAUCAAUUAGGAUUUCUAGUAUUUUAAUUUGAUUCUUUUUGCAUUAGAUUAGAAAUUUUAUGAAGUUUCUGUAGAUAUCAAGUUUGACUAGAUUUGAAAGUUUGAAUUUGAAUUUUCAUGAAUUUGCUCAAAUCACUAGAUUGGCUAUAAUUUGAGCUAGGAGUAUUUUUUCAAAUGAUUCUUUUUGCUAUUGGUUCUUUGUGACUUUGUUUAUCAGUAGUAAUUAAUUGGCGAAUUUUAUAAUUAUUUAAAAUUAGGUUUUUAUGAAAACAGUUCUGUUUUAGUGUUUUAUAGGUUUUAUGCCAUUUCUUUUAAUUUUAAUUGCUUUAAAUUGUUUUCUUUAGUUUUUUUGACAUAUUCUUUUUGUUUCUAUUUAGUUAUCAGUAGCUAUUUUAUUUGUACUAUUUUUUGUAUUUUAUUUCUUUUAUCCUACUAGAAAACUUGUUUUGAGCUUCAUCGGAGUUUAUAUUUAAAAGUUCCUUAUAAAUCCUGUACAACCAUUGCCGUUUUAUACAUGAAAAAAAAACUUUUCCGCAAUCUUUUUCCCUCCAUUUUCUUUCCCGCCAUCUUCUUUGCCACCAUUUUCUCCCGCCAUUUUCUUUCCCGCCAUUCUCUCCCGCCACACUAAGGAGUGCUGCAUCGACGGAGGAUGACUAUGAUGCCUUCAUGUGGAGUGUGAAACACUGUGUGAGAGAAGUCAUAAGUGUGAAACACUCUCCAAUGAUGAUGACGAAGCUGCAAACACUUAUGACUUCUUUCAGACAGUGUUUCACACUCUACCAGCAGCACCGACGCAGGAGACACAGACCGUGUUAGACGAUGUUAUCUACGGUCAUGGACAACAUGAGGCUCGUUUUAUAAGUUUAGAAGUGAAGAUGGCGAGAAAGAAGAUGGCGGGAGAGAAUGGCGGGAAAGAAAAUAGUGGGAAAGAAAAUGGCGGGAGAGAAUGGCAGGAAAUAAAAUGGCGGGAGAAAAUAGAGGGAGAGAAUGGCGGCAAAUAAAAUGAUGAAAAAGAAAAUGGCAGGAGAAAAUGGAGGCAAAGAAUGGCGGCAAAGAAUGGCGGGAGAAAAUGACAGCAAAGAAAAUAGCGGGAGAAAAUGGAGGGAAAGAACGACGAGAAAGAAAAUGGAGGAUAAAAGAAAUAAAAUAUAAAAAUACUACAAAUAAAAUAUCUACUAAUAACUUAACAGAAACUAAAAUAAUAUGUCACAAAAAUAAAUAAAACAAUUUAAAGCAAUUAAAAUUAAAUGAAUAGCACAAAACCUAUAAAACACUAAAACAGAACUGUUUUCAUGAAAAACUAAUUUUAAAUAAUCCUAAAAUUCACCAAUUAAUUACUACUGAUAAAAAAAGUCACAAAGAACCAGUAGCAAAAAGAACCAUCUAAAAAGAAUACUCCUAGCUUAAAUUAUAGGCAAUCUAGUGAUUUGAGCAAAUUCAUAAAAAUUCAAAUUCAAACUUUCAAAUCUAGUCAAACUUGAUAUCUACAAAAAACUUCAUAAAAUUUCUAAUCUAAUGCAAAAAGAAUCAAAUUAAAAUACCAAAAAUCCUAAUUGAUAUGAAUUUUCUAAAACUGUAGAGCCGGUGUUGGCCGAAGAGGGACUCUUUGGCCAACUGUUGGCCGAAAAGUUCUUUUUGGCCAACGGUUGGCCGAAAAGUCCCUCUUCGGCCAACAGGAGGCCGACAGGGUGAUGCUUUUUGAUUUUUCUGUAUUAGGGUAUAUAGUUUCCGAAUUUGCUAUAAAAAUCAUCAUAGUCUCAAAAAAAAUCAGUUCUUGAUGGCUGGUGCUUUUGGAGACCUUGGUUUGUGGGAGUCCUAGGGGAUAUGUGUUGCAUUUUAGACUCUCUUUCGCUAAGGGGUGGCUGGCAUUAGGCUAGCUUGCCUUAUCUCGCGGCCUGAUGGGGGCAAAUGAGCUUAACUCAUUCUGCAAUCCAUCUAUCCGUGCAUCAUGCUUGCUUUGGCUGCCGCCAAGCAGCCUGCUUUAGUCGCAGUUCAUUUUAUAUUUGUAAGAAGACACGAGGUUUUUGAUAAUGGAAAUCGAAUUGAGUGCUCUCUUUUUCAAAAAAACGUUUCGUAGAGUAUUACCAGUCAACCAAAUUGCCCACAAAAUUUGCACCAGCACCUUGACCCAGCCGUUCAUGCGGCGUAUGUACUCUUCAAAGCUUUUCUCCUGUUUCCCAUUCCCUCUCUGAUGAGCUUUUAUAGGCGAUGAGUCGGAGAGUAUCGUACAAGUAUGCAAAGACGGCUGUUGAGAUGAUGAUCACGGCGAUGUCCCACUUCCGAAGCGAAGUGCUCUUGUGGUUGGAUGGAUAAUAUAAUGAAAAUCUUUUUUCCAAGCAAGUUGUGGUGGGUUUUUGAUGAGGUGGGAAACUGGGCAUGUGUGCAUAUUGGGAUAAAUACAAUUACGUAUCCUCGGCAACCCCUAGACCGGUACCUGCUUCCUUCUUUAUUUUCCUUGCUUCCAGAAAUACCUACCUUCAAAAGCAAAACCUACUUCCUUUACCAACACGGGCACGGCUUCCGAAACCCCCUCACCUCGGCCCGGGAUAGCGAUAGACGUACGAAUUCAAUCAAUGGCGAUAAUGUCAUCCCCUUUCCUUAGAUAUAAAAGAAUCAUUCUGAGUGAGUCCAUAAGAAGUGACCCGCUUUUUCAUCGGUUCCGGGGGAAGACCAAAGAUCUUGCGCGACCGGUCCGCCAGAAAAACUAAAAAGAGAAUGAGAGGUAUGCACUGUGAAGGAAGUGAGAUCAACUAAUAACAACAGAAAACUUUUCUCUAUGCAUCUUGAGGUGGGCCUUUGAUGAUGUGAUAUAUGCGGUGAGGUGACAUGUGUGCAUGUUAAGAUGAAUAAAAGUAGCAGGGGUCAACAGUUUUUUGGAUAGAAACCAACAACUUAGUUAUAUAGGAUUAGGAGGGGGGGCAUUGGCCCCCUUACCCUCAUGAACUAUUUCCUCUGUUCCCCUGUUUUCCAGGGCGGGGCCCCAUGGUUCUCAAUCAAUUCAUGCCACAUCAUCUCGUGAAUUGCAUUACGUGGCCGUUGGGAGGACGUCGGUCACCAUCCGCUGAGCACUCCGAUCCGAUGUAUCACCUUCUACACCUCCGUAAAAAUUGUGCUUGUACUCUUCGUUGUCGCCCCUGUUCAGAUGAAAAGGCCGUCGUCCCGUUCGGGAUGAAGGUCGUGUGCUUCACACAACAAUAUACAAUCGUGUGGCUACAAUCAGUACUAUUCUAAAUAAGUAUCACCAUUUGAGGAAGGAAUUUUCAAUCACGCUCAUUCUCUGGAUGGAUGGUUAUUGAAUUAUGACAUUCACAGCAGUCCCAUGUAAGUUUUGAAACCAUGGUGCCUGGCUUUGCAAGCAUAUCGGUGUAUAUAUACUUUAAAUUCAAUAAGAUUUUCUUUUGAUCCUCUGUCGGCCCGUUGAAGGUGGUCAGGUGUGCAAACAAACAACAUAAGCGAUUUUGGAAAAACAGGAAAGAAAACCCAAUAAUUCAAAACGCAAGUCAUUCGUGGUUGUUUCAUUGGAGCGAAAAUUCAAAUAUCCAUCUAUUAUAAAAGAACAGUAAGCAGUGAAGAAGAAACAUGCAUGCGGUCUUCUUGAAACCACUUGUAGGUGGAUUCAUGCUCCAGAUGUUGUCGCUUCUCCGUGAAUCACAUGUCCACCAUUCUCCGUGAACAGAAAUAUUAAACUAACAUGGUUAUUAUAAAGUAACAAAGAUUAGUGCGGUCUUUGCUUCACAGACUAUCACGGGCAUGCAAACGCCAUCUACUUACAUCCGUAAGUUCAACCAACCUAAAAGUGCCGCAAUGCGAUUGAAAGGCCCUACAAAACAGUGGCGUACCUAACGGGUGUGCCAUGGCACACCCAGAAUUUUGGGACUAUUCUUUUUACCAUAUAAUGAUUAGAUGAUUUUUAAGGCCAAGCCAAGCCAAUUGAAUAUACCUUAUUUUUUAAAAAAGUGUGCACACCCUCCAUUUUAUUUUUACGUCUUGCCACUACUACAAAAGGACCAUCCCCACAACAACAUCUGAGAUGCAACGAGUGGAUCAUCUGAUCAUCACAUAAGUGGCAGUGGAUCUUUACAGCAGUAAAAGUAGACGCCUUUGGCCAGAAUUAAGUGAAACUUUUUUUCCAAGUGAAGAACAAUAAUCUGUGAAAAGUAAAAUGAGUGAGCUGUAACUUCAGUUUGGACAGACACGAGGCCAAGAUGGAAAAAGUAGAAAUCAAAUGUGUGGAAGACUAAUUAAGUUUUUUUUUUGAAGGGUGGAAGACUAAUUAAGUUGGAUGCACAAUAAGCUUCAUCAGGUGGAAGAAAUCAAAAACCAGCAUGCCACUUUGGAAACUUUUCUUUUUAUAAGAGUAUAAUUGAGGCUUUCAGUCUGGCCCAGUGGACUGGUACUUACCCAUUUGGAACAGCUCAAAGCCCAGGCCCAGGAUGUCUUCUUCCUCCUCCUGGCAACGAUGAGCUCGCUCAACUGAAAAAAAGGCAACGAUGAGCUCGCAACUGGUAAUGGCGGCUCCUCGCCAUGUGUUCGAGAGCAGGAAGGGCAGGGCAGGGUACUUGAGGCCGAAGCACGGGGGUGACCAUGGCCUUCGCUGGCCCUCCCUUGGCUCCGCCACUGAGCCGCAUACCUCCUCCUCCGGCCAGCAGCUGCUCCCCGCGCGCGCCCCUCGCUCUCUACACACGGUAACCUCCUCACCACCGUCUCCUCGGCGGCUCGCCUUCCUUGCACCGCAGUGAUUUUGUUUUGGUGCCUUUUCCAUGGGCUCUUUGGAAGCAGCGGCGCCCUUUCGGCGCAUGCCCACAACCUGUUCGCGGAAUUGCUCGUGCCAGUCCAUGCGCUGGUGUGCGCUCCUUAACUGUGCACUGUAUAUGAGCUGAAGAUGACUCUCGUUAAAAAGAAAUCGUGCCAAAUCUAUGUGCUAGACUUCCUUAGAUGGCUGUACCGAAGAUGAUUUCUACUUUAGUCAUGAUUAGAACAUCAAACAUCGUCGAGCGCUGACAUGCAAAUUGAAGCGUUUGUUCAUCUCUACUUCUAUUCUAUGUGCCAACUCCAAUGCUUGCUUAGUACAGUAUUAUAUAUAGCAGGAAUCACCCAGGCGACAUGUCAUAUAUAGCACAGUGCGCCUCUUCUCGGAGCAAGCCAAGAACAUCAGAAGGUGAAGCUACAGUUGCUGCACCUUCAGCAGCUGUCCAGGGUUGUUCUGCUCCUCUGGUUCAGGCACUGGUGGGAUCAACUGCAGCUCAAGGCGUUUCCUGCUUUCACUUCCCUGGACACAACCGAGGGAAAGCUGCUCUCCGUCCUCCUUGUCGAAACCUUAUUGGCAAAUCCCACGAGAGAGGUCUCCAAAGGUGUGACCCUGUCUGCUCUGCUAGAGUGUUAAUCAGGCAUAGCUCCUCAGCGCGCUAAACACAUACUGUAUUAAAACAACAAAUUCAAUACAUUACAUUACGCAAACAAAAAAUAUAUUAGGAAAACCAUAUAGAAGCCGCAGGCAUUAAGAUAACUCUACUAAUCAAACAAUAUGAUCACCAAAAGGAUGCAUUCCAUUCAGGACAGCAACAAGAUUAUCUAUCGACCAAAGUUCAAAAAUAAAAUCUAUAGACCAGAUUUGCACAGAUGUCCCUUCAUUUAUCCAUCCACGCACGUGCUAGAUUGGUGCCAGAAUGUAAUUUUUGUGCAUUCUGCAAGAAGAAAAGAUAUGUACAGAGAAAAACAUGGGAAGGAGCUCAUAGCAUCAUUCAGAGAAAGCAUCACAACCGACCAGGCACCUAUCGAUAAAGCUACAAGGAAUCGGCAGCCCAGGUCGGCUUCAGCUUCACCAAACCCGUAGGAGCUGAAGUGCUUCACCCUGAACUUCCACUCGCCCUUGGCGCCGUCAAACUCCACUCUCUGCUCUUCAGCCUUCUUCACCGGCAUCUCCUUGAACUUGUCCAACCUCGGACCCUGCGUGUACUGGUCGCCCCUCUUCCUAUUCAUGCACUUAGCUUUGUUCAGGCCCUCCAUCAAGCGUCCUAUUCGACAAAUCAGCAUACAAAAUUAUUAGGUAGCUCAUACCAUCGCACCCAGCUGCCAACAGGGGGUCGCCGCAUUUCUCCGAUGAAACAUAUACUCCAUUGCACGACUCACUGAUUCAACCAACCCAUCGACUCGACGAGGAGGAUUUCUCACCUGUACUUCAGAAUCCGUCUCACUUCUUAGUUCAGAAGUUCCAUCCCCGCGCGCACUGUACUCUGUUGGAAAUUUCUCGCUCACUCACUUCAAGCACUGUAUAUAGCACUCCUAAGUUCAAUCCUUCAUACAGAUCCUUGCACUGAGUUGCCGGCUUGCAGCAUCGCUAUCUAUGUGGAAUCUAGUAAGAAAUAUGGCUAGAAUCAACAAAUGUACCAAUCAGAAAGAGACCCCAAAGCAUGUGGUUCUGAUUACUUCCUCCUGAUCAAUUCCUUCCACUUGAUCAAUGAGAGGUGCGGCACAAAGAAGAUGUUUAAUUUCCACGGGUUUCAUGCUCUUACUGGGUGUUUUCUCAGUCUCAACCUGGACGGCGGUGAUCCAUAGCUGAUUCUUGGGGGGUCUAUAUUGAAUGGCACGCCUGUAUAUACAAGAACAUUAGAGGUGAUGACAUCUUUCAUAAACUGAUCACCAUGCAUAAUUGAGAGAGAGAGGGAGAGAGAUUCACCUUGCACCACCCAAAACAAUAUGGUACCAGAGUCGACCUCUUUGCCAGCAUAAUCCAAACACAUUCUUUCGCUCUCCCACUGUUUACUCUCCCAUGAGAAUGGCAAAAAGAUUGGGUCUUUGAGGUACACAAUAUGAUUUUCAGAGAGUAGUUCAUAAGCAGCAAGCCCACGAUUUGAGCAUGUGUAGAUAAAACCAUCCACAAAUACACAUGCGCCGUUUAAAAGGCGGUUUCUAAGCAUAGCCCUUGGCAGGUAUUCUCCCCAUAUAGUCCAAGGCAUGACAACAUGCCACUUCUUGGCACCGACGUCAAACCGAAGACAAGAACAUGUGAUAGUAUCACAGACUAUAAAGGAAUCAUCACCCAGUACAACAUAUCCCGAGAGCUUGACCUUCCUGUCAAGAACAUUAGACUGGUCUGUGUGGCAGCGCACCCAUGAGGUGGAUCCAGGAGGAGAAACAUGGUGGGCCUUAGAGUAAACUUGGAGAGUCUCAGUAAGAGCAAAAGUCGCUCGACCAACUUGGAUAACCAUAACAAAAGGAUCGUCAACAGAAACAGGCCGGCGUGCAAGGAUAUCCAUAGCGUGACAUGUGGUGUCAAGAUUAAUCACAUCCAUGCCAUCUUUUAGGAAUGAGACAGCACAUAGUUUUGAGCUACUCCGAAAAAAUGCCUGUGCCCAUGAUCAUCUCCAUGUACAAUGUAAUGUGGUUUGAGAGGAGGUGCGCUUUCGAAUUCUAACCCUGGAAUCUCAUCCAGACUGGUUUUAUAGAUAAAUGAUUGUGAACCACCUUGGCAGAUAAUAAACAAGUGAUCCUUGUCAAUAUGGAUACGUGGUGGCUUCACGUACCUAGGAGGACUUGGUGGGAGAAAAUGCCUGGAUGAAAGAAGCAAAAUAUGUCAUGCACUAAUUAAGAAGCUUGGAAGGCACAAAGAAACUUGGAACCAAAGUAAUGUCUAGACCUGCAAGGAUCAUCAAGCACUUGCUCUUCAUGGAGUUGAGGCAGCAGCACCUUGUCAUCCAUAUACUCUCUAAGUGGUUGAUUAGUAGAUAAAUUAAAAGAUUAAUUUGUAAGCAAGAUGACCAAAAUGAACACAUGGAUUAGUGGAGAGAAAAACUUACUGCACAAAGCAUAAUUGAAAUUCAUGGAUGUGUUUCAUGGGCAACAUGUCGAGCUGGCGGAAGGUGGAGUGCAGGACCUUGACAUCCCAGGGCAGGGGAGCAAUGUGGAAGGUGGUGACAAAGGCAUGUAGGUGGUCACACCCGCAUGAGAGAUCGAGGCUGAUCCAGACAGAGCACAUGAGCCCCGAGCCCAGAUGGGCGAGGAAGCCAUCUCCUUGCAUUACAAUGAAAGGACAAACGGAGUCAAUCCUCGCAGGCAGAUGCAGCUUGAGCCUUCGCUCUUCAUCUGCCGGUGCGAGCUUGUAUUCGUAGACCACGUUGUUCCACAGCAUGUAGAUGGCAUUGCUUUCUUGCGUACAGGCCGCGGCCAUUGAUAGGGAGGUAGCACUCGUCUGAGGUGCGGAUUACCUUGGUCCACAGCCGGAGUCUGGGGCCGAGCAAUCGAAGGUGAAGAAGAGGCUAUUCUGGAGGGAGAUGAGAAUCAUGGUGCCCCCAUCCCGGCCGUGGCCGGGGAGCACCGCGUAGCCCUGGAGGAAGCUGCCACCCCAGAUGGGGAAGGAGAGGUCGAAUUUGCAAUGGUGGAUGAAGGGGCUGCCGACCUGCUCCCAGCGUCCUCCGGCUACGCCCUCUUCCUCCUCGUGGAUGACGAGGCGUUGCACCACCAGGUGGAAACUGGAGACGGAGCAGCGGCCCGCGGACACGGCCCAUAUGUGGCCGUCCGCGGAGACGGCAUGCAGCGGCCAUGCGUGCUCCAGGCCAGCGGAGGGAGGGGCGCUUCGGCCCGCAGCUCCUCCUCGUCGGCUUCCAGCUGCAGCUGCAGGGCGUGGGUUGGCUCGUUCUCCUCCUGCUGCACGACGCAGAGGGAGCGGCCGUCUGGAGCCAGGGCGGCGUCGGCCCUCAAGCUGCUGCACCCGUGCGAGCUUUUGAGGUCGUGAAAGAUCUCCAGCACCUCGUUGCUCCGGCCGGAGAUCCGCCCCGAUCUCGCCACGCGGAGACGGUGGAAGCGUAGGGCGCCCCUCAUGACGCCGACGAGCAGCGACCAGGCGGGGCCCUCGUCGGCAUUCAAGGGAAUGUCGACGAAAUCCUUGCCGGGGAAGACCUGAGGGAGCGGGGCCGCCCUCUUCGGGUUAGGGUUAGCCUCCGCUGCCGCCAUCUUCGGGUUAGGGUUAGGGGUUUGGGGACAAGUCUGGGUGACUAAUUAAAUUGGCGGGAUGCUUGUUUUUUUGUUGUUGAGGACUUGAUGCUUCGUGCUGGGCUGGCCCAACUUUAUCUAUUUGAUUUUCUUAUUAAAUAAAUAUUUAAAAGUGUUCAUCUAAAAAAUAUAUUUAAAAGUGUUCAGAUGUUGUAAUAAAUCUGUUUACAUAAUUUUAUAAAAGUGUUAAACUAUUUAAGUUUUUACCGAUCCUAAAGAAAAAAAAGGUUUUCUAUACAAUUCUAAAAAACCAUGAAACUUAAAAAAUGUUCAAUUAAUUAAUUUUGUAAGGUGUUCACGCUUUAAAAAAAGUGUUUGUGCAUUUUUUAAAAGCAUACAUUUUUCUCAUGACAAUAAAACAUGUCACAUAUUUCACAAAAAAAUGUUUGAAUAAUUCGAAAAAAAUAAGUUCCUGACAUUAAAUUUUCAAAAUAUUGUUCGUGGAAUCAAAAGAUUAUUCACGUAUUUUUUUAAAAAACAUCAAACUUAGAAAUUAGGGUCAAAAUUUAAGUGAUCAAAAGAUGAUUGGAGCAUAAAGCUAAUAGUCUUGUAAACUUAGAAAUUAGGGUCAACAUUUAAGAGAUCAAAAGAUGAUUGGAGCGUAAAGCUAAUAGUCUUAUAAACUUAGAAAUUAGGGUCAAGAUUUAAGUGCUCAAAAGACCUGAAGGAUCGGGGUCGAGCAGCCCCCCUCCUCUUUGCUCUUCUUGGGCGCCGACAUCUUUGGGUUACGGUUAGCCUUCGCGGCCGCCAUCUCCCACUCCGACUCGCUCUCCGCCGUCGUCACCUUUGGGUUAGGGAUUUGCGGGUAACUAAAUCGGCAGGGUGUUUAUUUUACCUGCGAUUGCAAUUAUAAGUAAGCUACUUAGCCUGCCUUGUCUUAAUUUUCGGAUCCACCUGAUAUGAACUUGGUUUGUAGUAUUCUACAUAUACAUAGCAGUAGUAUUUUAUAGAUGAUGAAAAUGGUUUUUUCAAUCCUACUCCAAUAUACUCCCUUUGUAAAUAAAUAGAAGACGUUUUAGGUCACUAAAGUAGUGUGAGAGUCUAGCUUAAUAGGAAUGAUAGGCUACUCAUAUCAACAAGGAAUUCCUUCUUUUGCGGGAGCCCAUUUGAAAAACUUCAAUGUUAAGCGUGCUUGGCUUGGAGCAAUUCUAGGAUGGCUGACCGACCGAAAAAAUUUGUCCCGGGUGCACACGAGUGAGGACAAAGUGUGUAGGAAAGACUAGUGUUGGUCUGUGGGGCCAGUCUAGAUCCCUCAAGGCGUUACUGCCGGGAACCGGUGGGAAGGUUCCUGUGGGCCGACAAGCACAUCGAUUCCUUUGAGUGGGCGUGUAUGUGAGAGCCUAGCUUAAUAGGAACGACAGCCUACUCAUAUCAACAAAGAAUUCCUUUUUUCCCGGGAGCCCGUUUAAAAAGAACUUCAAAAUUAAGUGUGUUUAGGUUAGAGCAAUUCUAGUAUGAGUGACCAAACAAAAAGCUGGUCCCAGAUGCACACAACUGAAGAGAAAGUAUGUAGGAAAGACUAGUGUUGAUCUAUGGGGUCAGUCUAGAUCCCUACAGACGUAAUGACCAGGAACCGGUGGCUGUGGCCGGGGCGUUACAAGUAGUGACAUAAUAAAACAUCUUACAUUAUUUGUUUACAGAGGUAGUAGCUCGCUAAACUGUAAAUUUUACUCCUAUUACUUAGUACUAAUUAUUUGUUUGAAAGUAUGGAUUAAAUUUGCAGUUCUAAUUUUAAAAUUUGAGGGGAAAGAUGAAUCCCAAAUGUUUUGGAAAUAUCAAGUGGAAAUGAAUGCAUGACAUGACUGGCUGGUUGAGUAGCAAAAUUGCAGGAGUAGUAGUAUCUGUCCCUCUCUGCCACUGCAAGCUUAAUGCCCACAGUAAUUCUGAUAGUACAAUUUAGUUAUUACUAGUGGAGGAACAGCAGCAGCCAAGGCAAAGGAUCACCCUACACUGGCAAGAAUGCAUGACUCACUCUUUGUGCAGUACUCCCUCCAUUCACUAUUAUUAUAAGAUGUUUUUACUCAUUUCAGUCCGCGUGUAGUUUAUAUUAAAAUAUCUAAAACAUUUUAGUGAACGGAGGGAGUACAAGAGUAGGAGUUGUAGUAGUAUAUGUCUCUGCUAGCUUAAUAAUUCUGUUGGGACAGAGCUCUAUUACUCCACUUGAUUAGAGGAGGAAUAGCAGCAGGGGAAGAAGCGGAGCCAAGGCAGAGGAUCCGGCGGUGACUCGCCUGGUUUGGGCGGCGGAGGCGUUGCAGGAGAGGGUGUCCGGGUCGCUGAAGCAGCCGUGUGUCUGCGCGAUACCCCUGCCGGCGUCCUCCAGCAGGAAGCUGGAGUUGGGGCUGCCGCUGGUGAGGAGGAGGCACCAGAAUCCUCCGUCCACGCCGGCGCCCACCAGCGUGGCAGCGUCUGGUCCUUGCCGCGGAACACCGUGGCGUUGGUUAUCUCGAAGUCGUAAACGCCCGCGUGCAAGCCGCAUCCGAGGAUGCGGCCUGAGAUGGCGCCGACGGUGGGGAGCUCGACCCCGCAGUUGGCGGCGUAGACCUCGGUGAUGUCGGUCUCCGGCGGACGGCAGGGCGGGGCGAGCGUGCCGCCGUCAGCGCACCCGCUCUUGUCGCUGCAUCGGGAGAUGUACUGCAGCGCCAUGCAGCCGAGGCCCUUGCUGUGGCGGAGGGUGGGCAGCUUGGCCGAUGCCCGGUCGCCGUUCACCAUCGCCACCAGGUCGUUCGCCGGGUUCCCUCCUCGUCGUCCUCCUCCUUGUGUACGUAAGAAGAAGAAGAAAACGAGAACAUAAAAAAUAAUUGAGAUGUAUGUACGCAUACAGAUACAGGAAUCUACAGUAAGUCGGAAGAAGAAGAAGAUGCAGAACAUGAUAGAAUAAAUUACCGUGGUGGAUGGUGGGUGCAGCCAGAGGCAGCAUCCCAAUCGUGCAAACGCAAACCAUGGCGAGGUUGAAGAUCCCCCACCACAUAUUCACUGACUCAAUCAGUUGGAUUUGUACAAGAAAGAAGAAGAAGAAGAAGAAGAAGAAGAAGAAGAAGAAGAAGAAGAAGAAGAAGAAGAAGGAGGAGGAGUCGAUAGAUAGAUCACAAGAAAGAAAAAAGAUGAAAAGCGAGCGAGGAGAGGACGGACACGGAAACAAGAAAGGGAAGAAUGGAUGGGGAAAGUGGAGGCCCAGCUGCUGGUCUUUUGUUCCAGCUGAGCGAGAACGCAACGCACCCGCAACGCAGUAGGCUGUGCACUCCUCCUACCUCCUUUUCUCACUCACAUUGCUAAUCAAAUGCAUUUUUUUACGGGUUGCUAAUCAAGUGCAUUAUCUUGUUUUUUUUAGUAAUUUGAUUUUUGGGCAUUCAUGUCAUUUGCUAUUCAUUUUUAUUGUAACUGUUUGUGUAUCAUAGAAAUUCAUAUUAUAUCAAAUGAAAUAAUUGUUGUUUAGUUGUUAUUUUUAUGUGCGGAAAAAUUAAUGAGAAGUAGUAUGGGUGCACCCGCUAAAAUAUCUCAUUGAUAAUUGUUGAGUUGGCCGAGGCAAAACCCCGUACAAGUUUUUCUAGGCAAUGAGGUGUGGUGGGCCGUGAUGAUGACAUAUUUCAGAAUGAUGUAGGGGGGCGCUCUCAAAAGGAGGGUAGCAUCGGAGGGUAGCCGUUCUUCAUGGUAUAGUUUUUCUUUUCUUUGAACGGUCACCGGGGCGAGAGGAUAUGUACGUACCUAAAUAUAUUACUCAAAAAGCUGCCAAAGCUAAGAGUCAUCUUUUAAGCUUUGGCUGAUCCAGUUUAUAAAGGAAACCCGAUCAAAAAUCUAAACAAAUUGAUCCCGUUUAUGAGAAAAACCGGGCCAAAAAUCGUACAGGUAACAAGGUUACAGGAGAUGAUUCAUGGUACAGUUUAGUUAUUACUUGUGGAGGAACAACAACGGGAGGAGCAGCAGCCAAGGCAAAGGAUCACACUACACUCGCAAGAAUGCAUGACUCACUAGUUGUUGGGUGGGCGGAGCUGGUGAAAGAGAGGGCGUCGUCUGGUUUGGUGGCAACUUUGAUGGAAUCACAAAUGCUUGAGAAAAUGAUCACACUACACCGGCAAGAAUUACAAGAAUAGGAGUCCUAGUCGAAACUAUCAUUGUCAGUUUACAAGCACAGACUGUCAGUUUACCCCGCACAUUUUGCUUAUCUUUUCAGUUAGUUUACUUGCCUUGUUUAUUACUUGUAUAUUUUGCCAAAUUGUAGUGAUAGUCAGGUAUGCGUAACUUUGGUAAGUCUUACUUACCAAAGUACAUGAACCUAUUUGCUUCGGUUUUGGUCUAGGGACUAUGAAAGCCUUACUUUCAACAUAAGGUCAUCUGUGCAAGUUUUAUACAUUUUUUUGAACUUCAAGUUAUAUAUUUCUGAAGAUUCCUAGGUUAGUUUGAUUAUUCAUCACCAAUUGUACUGGUGCUUAAGCAGCAGUGAUAGUAAGUUAUGCUUAUAAGUUGGUACCAUUUUGUGUUGUUUCAUUAGCUUAUGGACAAGAAUGCCACUUUUUUUUGUCGUUUUUGAAUUACUGGUACAUAUGAAUCGAUGUAACAUUUGAUUUGGUAUGCAAAACCAUAUUUAUGCUGUGGACCCUGAAUCGCUCCCGGAAGGAGUACAACUAACACACAUCAACCUAAAUGACCAGAGCUGUGCUGGUCUCCCCAAGAUGAAGCUUAUGUCUCUCCAGUACCAUCCGGAGUCCUCCCCCAGGCCCCAUGACUCAGACUUCGGUAUGUAUAACUUCUUGGCUACUGCAUGCACGCAAAACAGUUUUUCGGAAGAAAAUUAUUAGUUCCAUUAUUAAUCCGGUUGUGGAUAUGACUUCACUGUUUUAACUCUUUUGGCGUUGCAGCGUUUGGUGAAUUUGUGGAGCUGAUGAAGAACAAUAGAUUGUGAGCGGAAGGAAGGUUGGGAUGCUUGGUGAGCAUCAUGAGUUGCAAAACUUGUACUCGGUUGGGUUUGUUGUUGGACCGACGCAUCGAGCUCCAAGGAGUUUGUAUUUUUCUUGUUGAUUUCUCUUAUCAGCUGAUCAAAACCUGUAAAGUAACUAGUGGUAUUGUACUAUUUAUUGGAGUUUAAAGAAUAAAAUCCUUUGAGCUGUUGUAUUCUGUUGCCCUAGCCUGCAAGCUCUCAGAUGUCUUGACGUCCGUAUGAAAUCCGCCUCAUUUGCUUUGCAGUAUAUAGAAAAAAAGAAAAAACCAGGACUCAUUUCCAAUUUAGCUCCUGAGUUGACAAUACAUACAUUUCUCUUAGUCUCAAGUCUAGUCAGAAAGGGGUGCUGUUGCGAAACCGAAGAAAUAUAGGAGGUGAUGUGGCGAGAGUAUUCAUUUUACAGGUUCAACGCCAACACGACAUGUGAAUAUCGAUCGGAUUUUUAACUCGGCGCAUUUUACUGACUUUUGGAACAAAUUAUCCAACUCCUUAACUAAGAAUUUAACUUUGAUGUCCCGAAGACAUUGAGGCUAAGGAGGUGUUUGUUUCGGAAAAAUAAUAAUCCUCAUAACCUGUUUACAGUGUAAACCCAAAAUGUUACGCGUGUUUGGUGUGUGUAGGCCGUAAUGGGCUGCUUUCGUGAAGGUGUGUGUAGGCCGUAAUGGGCUGCCUCCGUGAACGGUUCCAGCCCAGCUUUCGAUCGAUACCAUCCACACACACACACCUCCCUGGGUAAAGGUUGUGUUACCGCAUGCACCUCCUUCUCCCAGAUCUCCUACUCCUCUACCAGUGUUGGCGCCACCUCAAUCCCCUUCAAGCCCUCUGAGCCACCUCUCUGACCCCCUCCGAGCCACCUCCUCCCAUCUCUGAUGGUCGACCAGUAACCGAACCCGUGCCUUCUCCUAGUCGAGACCCCUUUCACGCCGCCCUAGCUCGCCCUCAUCGCCGGCUGGACCGUUCGCUGCAAGGUUGAGGCUCCCUCCCUCAUCCAUCCUCCUUCUUCUGUCAUUAGUCCUCCGUCCUCCUCCCUUGUCUACUCUCCUUCCCGUCCUUUGUGUGCUCUCCUUCCUUUGCAGCCACCGUCCGCGACGACCUUGGAGCAGACACCGUAACUCUGAUUACUUUACGGGCAUCAACCAAACAUAACAGAGAUUUAUCUAUUAUGUUUCGUUACCAGCGUGAUCUAAUUCCCUCACUGUUUACAUUACUACCCUCUAAUCGAAACACUUCCUGAAUAGCUUGCCAAGAAUGAGAUUUCCAAGAAGAAUGAGGUUCGAUUGAGUAUGUGCACGAAGACUUCAAUGUUGGCUUUCAAUUGUAUCCCCUUAGUAGUACGGUUUGCCACGUGACCAAAUGGGUCUGUUAAACAAAAGUCUACACCACGGCUUCAUAUUCCUCAACAGGUAUUCUGGAUUCUUUAAUUAUUUCACACAAAUUUUAGGGGUAAUAAUUCUUCGGUUAAACCAGAGGGACUUCCACCUGUGUAUACUCACAAACACAUAAGCCAUUUUAACUGUUUUUAUAUUAAUCGUCCAAAACAUCAAAGGGGCAGUAGAUACACUUCCACCUGUGUACACUCACAAACACAUUAGCCCUUUAACUCUUUUUAUUAUUGAUCGUCCAAAACAUUAAAGGGGCACUAGAUACACUUACAUAACCCUUGACAAAUGAACAAUAACAUAUUCCCUUCGUUUCAAAAUAUCUGAAGUUCUAGGUUUGACCUAAGUCGAACUUCUUUAAGUUCGAUUAGGUUUAUAGAAAAGUGUAUUAAAAUCUAUUACACCAAAUUAGUUUUAUUAGAUUCGUCGCAAACUCACAAUGUAUAUAUAUACUUGAUGAUGUGGGUAUUAGUAAAACUUUCUAUAAACUUAUUAAACUUGUUGAAGUUUGACUUUGAACAAACUUUGAACUUCAAAUGUUUUGAAAAGAAAGAAGUGCCCUACAUAAUAAGGGAAUAAGGAUUUUUUUCUUUCAAAAAUUAGAAUAACCCCAUGCCUUUGCAUCGAUCGAUACAACCAAUUGCGGUACUCCAGGUAAUUGACUCGGAUAAUUCUUACGUUGGAGAAACAACGGUAGCAGUUCUUUGUCGGAAGGCAACGAUUGCACACACGGUCAUGAAUUCUUACGAGAUUUUUAAUUAAUAAGAUCAAUAGAAUAUUCAGUAUUCUGGGGUCUACAAUAUGUGCCGAUCGGGUGGUGCCACAAUAUGCUACUCCCACCGUCUCAUAAUGUAAGACGCUUUCUAAAAACGUCUUAUAUUCUGGGACGGAGGGAGUUCAGUUGAUAUAAAACCAGCUAUAGCUGACAGUACAUCACAUUUGCAUGGUUCUAUUAGCUGACAACAUGCUUCAUUUGAACAACCAAAUGUUGAUGCCAGGGUGGAGCUUGAAUCAGAUAAUUCACUAAGUUCCAAGGAAACACAUUUAAUAGGGUGUGAGUGGGACAAUGAUUACAUGAGCACAAAAUGUUCCCCUAUGGAACCAGUUACCGGUGGCAUCUAUCCCUUGUGGAUCAUGAGAAAUGAGGCGCCGAUUCAAGUGGUUUACUAGAAGUAACAAAUGACAGUAAGACCAGAGUAAGAUAGUGCCAUCGAUGUUUGUUUUUCAUGCUCGCUAUAUAAUGGUUAAAUUCUCUUUAAGAAAAAGAUGAUACAUUACUAUAUAUUAAGGGGGGAAAUUAUAUUUUUCAAUCCUUGACUUUUUCAAAAUAUACAAAUGGUCCCUUAACUUCAAAACAAGCAAAUCUUAGUCCCUAAUUGAAACCAGACAAGUUUAGUCCCUCCUGCUUCUUCGGGUGGUUUCCUACCGACAUGGAGUCAUAUGCUCAAAUGUUUUAGGUGCUUGUAAAUUUUCGUCGAAAAAUAUCAUCCAACGAGCUCUACACGUGAGAAACAAAAAUCAAUGCUCAAUACUUUGAGCAGUGAAAUCUUUUUAUUGUGUAUAGCUCCUCCUCAAACAUUUUUUCAGCAUGAAAUUUGGCAAGCACCUACAAAGUUUGAGCAUAUUUGAUGUCACAAAAUUUCAGAUUUAGUUUUCUAUUUUUUUGAAUUUAGGGUUCAUUCAGGGAGAACUGGGAAUCGAACUCACAACGACCACGUGAUUGAACACUAGCUAACCACUGCACCACCGCCAGUUACUUGUUAGCUUUAGUAAAACAGCACCUCUUUGACCUUUCCUUCAGUAUAAACAUUAAACAUAUACUAUUAUAUACCCACUAUAAAUUAUACUAUUUGAAUAAAGAAAACAUAAACGUGAAAACGCAUUCACAUAAACCAUGAAUUCAAAACAAAAGCUCGCAAUACAAAAAGAUUGUGAAUUUGAAAAAACUUCAUCGAAUUUUAAAAAAAGUUCAUCAAAUUUAAAAAAAAGUUCAUCAAAUUUCAAAAAAACUUCAUCGAAUAUGAAAAACAAGUUCACCGUAUUUGAAAAAAAGUGAAUUUGAAUUUUUUUUCACCGAAAUUGAAUAUAGUCAUCAAAAUUGAGAAAAGUUCAUCGAAUUUGAGAAAAGUUCACUGUAUUUGAAAAAAGUUCACCGAAAUGGAAAAAAGUGCAUCGAAAUUGAGAAAAGUUCAUCGAAUUUCAGAAAAAGUUCAUCCAAUUUGAAAAAAACUUCACGAAUUUAUAAAAAACUUCGUAAAUUUAGAAAAAGGUUCACGAAAUUUAUAAAAUGGUGCAUUAAAGAAAACAAAAAAGAAUGAUAAAAAAGAAAAAAGUAUAAACCGAACAGAAAAGGGAAUAUAAGAAGAGAAACGAACUUUUAGUGCAGCAGUGUGGUGAUGGCGAGGUGGUUAGUGCGUAGCGGUUGGAUCAGAGAGGUUGAGGGGCCGAACCCUGCUGCGCGAGCACUUUUUGGCGUUUUCGAAAAAAAGAGGAAAAUACUCGAAUGGGCGGGCCCAGUGCGGGGCGCUGUAGGCGCCAGUUUGCAAAAUACACGUUAAUGGGCGCCUGCAGGGCCAAAUAGGGUUUGCCGGUUUAGGGACACCCGAGAGCAGACAUGGCCACCUGGGCAAUACCUAACGUUUCGGCCCAUUAGCUCACGUACCCGACACAUCAUGGGCCCGCCGACACAUCGUUAAACAGGGCAUACCUCACGCGGCACGCUCGAGGCCGUGUCAGGGCCGUAUGGUCAGGCCCGCGUGCCGGCACAACGCGACACAUUUCUUUCUAGAAUUAUUUUUUUAUAUUUUUUGAGAAGAACACUAGAAUUAAUUUUAUAUAGGCCAAGACAGCCGAAAUGGGCCCCAAAUCGUGUGCUCCAUAAAGGAUAAAUGGGCCAUAGGCCCACCGCCUUUAACUAAUGUGCUGGGCCUGGACCAGGACGAAAUCACUAAUUGAGAAGUACUCCUGGAAAAGAUGACUCCCAACUUCCUAGCUGUGAGUUUUUUCUUUUUUCGUAGAUCCGUUUAUACAAAAUGUUUUAUCUCUUAAACCGUGCGUCAAAAUCUCGAACCAUUUUUAUCGUUGGAUUUCUCGCGUCGAGAUCUUCGAAACUAGAUCUCAGGUUGAUAGAUUUUGAUGAAAAAAAUUAAUGAAAAGAACGAACGAAAAACCAAAACGGGAGCAUGUUUUUCCCCCUUUCCGGAAGUCAUUUUCGUGAGGCACGUCGAAACUAAAACCGUGCCUUUCACGGAAGGAAAAUCUCAUGAAAGGAAAAAAAGAGAAAAUAUGUUUUUUUUCUAGUUUUCGGGAGGCACAACCAUGUCUCUCGCAGAAGCAAAAUCACGCCUCUCACAAAAAAAUACGUUUUUUUUUGUUUUGAAGAGGCACAACCGUGCAUCUCGCGAAAGCAAAACCGUGCCUCUGACAAAGAAAAAAAAAUAAAAAACAUAUUUUUUCGUUUCCGAGAGACACAGCCAUGCCUCUCGCGGAAGCAAAACCGUGCCUCUAACAAAAAAAGAGAGAAAACAUGUUUUUUCGUUUUCGAGAUAGACGACCGUGCCUCUCACGAAAGCAAAAUCGUACCUCUCUCGAAAGCAAAACCAUGCCAUCACGAAAAAAAGCGUUUUUCACGCAUUUUUUCAAUAAAAAGUUAAGAAAGACUGGUGAAAAACAAAAAGUCGAAAACCCUGAAAAACAAAACAUUUAAAAAACCAAAAACGCGUGCGAACAAAUAAAUAAAUAAAUAAAAUCCGAAGAAAAACGCCCAGAACGCGAUAUACGACGACGGUUGAGAGCGCGAGUGGUCUGAGGCUGCAUGCGUGUCGGAGGACCUGGAGCUGCUGCAUGCGUGUCGGCACGGCACGGCCCGUCCCGUUUAUAAACGGGCUGCCGUGGGCCAUGGCAGGCACGCUUAAUAGGGGCCUCGCUGUGCCGGCCCAUUUGGUCAACUCUCUCUCCAAGCCCUAAGGCUCCACGCUCCCUCUCCCCGCCGCCUCCGCACCGUGCCUUCGCAGCCGCCGCCGCAGCUAUGGGUGAGCCCCUCCGUCUACCAGCUCCUCUUCCUCCCGCAACCUGGUCCGUUUGCCUUGUCGCACGUAUUAUUGCGCGCUCGUUUUGAUGGAUUCGUGGUGGCAGGCGCGUACAAGUUGGUGUCGGAGCUAUGCAGGAGGAAGCAGUCGGACGUGAUGAGGUUCGUGCAGCGCAGGGCUCUCGGCUCCCAGGCCAAGCAGGUUCGCUUUCCCUCUUACUCCAGAUCCGAUCCUCUCUUGUGUUCCUUGUGCGAUGCCAUGGCUGGGUGCAUCUAUGUCUGUGAUUGCUGGCCUAGGCCGACUAGUUUUCUUUGUCUGUAUUUCUGGUUGUUCCUUGUGCGGGGAAAAUGCGUCUUUUCUGCCCCGUCGAUGCUAGGUUUAGUUUUAGUUGAUGCAAGUUAAUUUCUAUGCCAUUUUUCUGCAAUAAACUACAGUUGGUCUUUUGGAACAGAUCUGAGCUUACGCCAGUCAUGAUGCCACGAACAAAUGUUUAUAAAAUACACGCGCGAGGAGACACUAUCUGGGUGUCUCUUGGGUUAUCUACCAAUUUUACAAGCUUUAACCGCUUGUGUUCAUUGCCCCGUUGUUUCUGACUAGUAAUUUGGACCAUCCCAUUCAGUUUAUACUAUCUGAAACUUAUGUACUGUGGACAUAGUUAAUUGCAUCAUUCAUGUCUAAAUUCUUGCCUUGUUUCAUUCUUGAAUGCCUGUUUCUGUUUCUAUGCGAGCCUUGCACACUGAAGCAUUUUCAUUGGACAUAUACACAGCUAGUUCCUUGGGUUCAUACAUUAGAUUGAGGGUUCGAUUGGUAGUAUUAGAUGCUACCAUUUGGUAAAAUGUUAUUGUCCAUUAAGCAUUGGUGCAUAGCUGGCGCCAGAGGUGGGUCACCGCAGUGCCAGGGACGAAGGGAAGGGCUGGCGCCGGAGGGGACUGCAGCCGCAGUCAUUAGAGGUCAGAUUGGAUCUGACCGCGGUGAGCAUGACCGGAGACAACGGAAGGGGAGCCGGAGAAGAGGAAGUAUCAACAUCGGAGGAAAAACGGAACGGGAGGGUCUUGGCCUGCAGGGCUCCGCCAUCUUCGUUUUGCCUUGGCGCCGCCGUCCUCUUUCUCAUGGUGGAGGGACGAUGGGACGAAAGAGAGGCUGGAAAUGAUUAAUGAAUUAAACAGAGAGACCCAAAAGGAUUCAAUGAAACCAAUAGGGUAUUAAUUUCAUAGUUCAGGAAGUAUUGUUAGAAGCUAAAUCAAGCAGAGUAGACCCGUUUUCUUCUAGAUCAAAUUUGACAUUAGCAAAUGAACGAAUAAAUUCAUUUAGAUUGACUGCCAUUGCUCUGCCCCAAACAAAACAAAACAAUGUAGGUCGCGAUCAGAUCUCUAGCAAAGCAAACCUCUCGGAGAAUUAGGGCAAUUCUAAUGAGGGAGCCUAGCCUAGGUGUUGAACUGGUUUCCAUUGUAAGCUAGCCCUACUCAUAUGGAAAUCAGAAUGGCGAUGAAUCCAAUCUAAUACGUACUGCAGUUCAGUUCUUCAGUGUAGCAUCUGAUUCGAGAUGGCUAAUAGCGGAGUAGUAUCUUGAUGCGGAAUUAAAGAGUUAAUUCGAGGUAAAAGCACGUACCGUGGAGUUGGUGUUGUUGGAUCCAGGCCGGCUGCCGUUGCUGAAAAGUGAGAGGCCGCCGCUGUCGCAGCAACCGUAGGAGGUGCUGGCCGUCGGAGGAGCGGGAGGCCAGCGGCGGGGUUGCCGCAUCCAACACUGUCCAAGAAGCGCGAGACCGCUGCAUCAGGUGGAGACGCCGAUUGUCGGAGUGCGAGGCUGGCGGCGUACCGGAGCAUAGCCAUCGCCAAAGAUCAGCUCUCCUGAACCCUACAGUCACUUGGAUGGAGAGAGAUCGGCCGAUUCGGGCUUGGGUGUGCUACAUGUUUUGUGCUUCUUAGUGGUGGGCUUAUUGACUUGCUCCUGUUAGGUCUUUGCCACAGAGUAGAAAAAGCCUGAGACGGUGAAGGAUGGGUCUGGGACGACGACGGCGACGAUGUGGUCGUGUCGGAGACAAACUGCGAGGAACUCAAUAGGGUCCGCCGAAGAGAGAACACGGUCACCGUGCUUUGAAGUGGAAUGUGUGCUCUCUCCGGUGUGCUCUCUCUGGCGGACCCUAUCGAGUUCCUCGUGGUCUGUCUCCGUCACGACCACAUCGUCGCCGUCGUCGUCCCAGACCCAUCCUUUAUCGUCCCAUGCCUCUUCUACUCUGUGGCAAAGGCCUAACAUGAGCAAGUCAAUAAGCCCACCACUAAGAAGCUCAAAACAUGUAGCACACCCAAGCUUGAAUCGGCCGAUCUCUCUUCAUCCAAAGAAAGUGAUAGUACGGUUCGGGAGAGCUGCUCUUUAGCGAUGGCGAUGCUCCGGUACGCCGCCGGCCUGGCGCUCCGCCGGUCGUCGUCUCCACCUGAUGCCGCGGUCUCGCGCUUCUUGGACAGUGCUGGAUGCGGCAACCCCGUCGCUGGCCUCCCGCUCCUCCGACGGCCAGCACCUCCUGCUGCUGCGACAACGGCGGUCUCACUUUUUUAGCAACAGCAGCCGGCCCGGAUCCAACAACACCAACUCCACGGUACGUGUUUUUACCUCGAAUGGACUCUUUAAUUCCGGAUAUUACUCAGCUAAUAGCCAAACUCGAAUCAGAUGUUGCACGGAAGAACUGAACUGCAGUACGUAUUAGAUUGGAUUCAUCGCCAUUCGGAUUUCCAUAUGAGUAGGGCUAGCUUACAAGGAAAACCAGUUCAGAACCUAGGCUAGGCUCCCUCAUUAGAAUUGCCCUAAUUCUCAUGGAGGUUUGCUUUGCUAGAUAUCUGAUCGUGACCUAAAUUGUUUUGUUUGGGGCAGAGCAAUGGCAGUCAAUGUAAAGGAAUUUAUUCGUUUCUUUGCUAAUGUCAAUUUUGAUCUAGAAGAAAACGGCUCUACUCUGCUUGAUUUAGCUCUAAUCUACUUUGCUAAUGUCAAUUUCCUCACCUAUGAAAUUAAUACCCUAUUGGUUUCUAUUGAAUCCUUUUGGUUCUCUCUGUUUAAUUCGUUAAUCAUUUCCAGUCUCUCUUUCGUCCCUCCACCACGAGAAAGAGGACGGCGGCACCUAGGCAGACGGCGGAGCCCCGCAGGUCGAGACCCUCCCGUUCCAUUUUUCCUCCGCCGCUGAUCCUUCCUCUUCUCCGGCGUCCCUUCCCGUUGUCUCCGGCCAUGCUCGCCGCGGUUAGAUCCAAUCUGACCUCUAAGGGCUGCGGUCCCCUCCGGCGCCAGCCCUUCCCUUCGUCCCUGGCACUGCGGUGACCCACCACCAUAGCCCGUCUCCUCCCUCGGGCCACGGCUCCCCUUCUUCUUGGUCCUCCUCGGCUCCCGUUCUUCCUGCAUUAACACGACUCCCUUCUUCCUCCACCAUUCUAGAAUAUUUGAUUGAUUUUUUUGUUUCUAUAUAAUCAUCCAAUUGUAAUCACACAUCAUACAACUUUUGUUUUGAUGGAUAUACUAAUGUUGCUCUGCAAUUCCAUAGUUUGACAUCCAUAUUGAAACCUCGGUAUAAUUUCGUGAGCCAAUUCAGUUAACAUCCAACCAACUGAAUUUGUAUUCAUGUUCAUUAUGGUUCCCUAGCUGAAAUGGAAUUGAAACUAAUACAAUACAGAGGUCCCCAAUACAGACAUCCAAACACAAAGUUAGGGUAAUAUGAUGGAGAUGUUCUGUACUAUGUGAUAGGCCUAUAGUGCAAUCUUCAUGCAAUCCACUAAUUAGCUCGGUCCGGAAUUUCUCUUUUUUAUUACUCCUACAUUGAUUGUAUGUAAACUUUCUCUGCAACAAAAUGUUGUAUCUUGUAUGUUAAAACGAGUUCUGAAAAAUAGGUAAAGCAAUACUAGAAAUGUGUGUACAAAAUUUUCCAGAUUUUUUCAUGACUUUUGUUAGUUCACUGCACGUCUAUUCAUAUAUCUUGUCGAAGGAGAUGAUAUUAGAAGAAGGCUACAGAUCUAGACAUUUGCUACCCCUUUUGUUGCAAUUUAUAAUGUCAAGUUUGUUAAUUGUUGUAGCUUGGCAAGCCUAUUAAGGAGACCAAGGAAGAUGUGUACCCGAGGACCCACAAGUCACCUGCCAAGAUACGCAUAAUUAUGAAAUCUUUCAAUAACCAGAAGAACAAUCUGAAGGAGCUUGCGCCGUACAUGCAUAAGGUUGGGUUGCCUGAAUCGCGGUCCUUAUACACCGUGCUGCGAUCACCUCAUAUUGAUAAGAAAUCCAGGGAGCAAUUCUCAACGCAUGUGAAGAAAGUGUUUGUGGAGAAAACAGCGGAGACACAUGAACUGGCCAAGAAGUUCUUCUGGUUGAAACGGCUUCGUAUAUUGGGGGCUCAGUAUGAAGUCGUUAUUAAUUUCAAGACACGCUUGGGUAAAAAGUUUGGCUGCAGCAAAGGUGGUGGCCUGCUUUGACAUCCAAAACAGGGUUCAGGCAUAGAAUAAAAAGGAGGUAAUAACAAUAUAACAACAAAAUGCUUCUUUUGGGCAACUGAAUUCUCCCCUUAUUUAAAAAUAAACCAUACUGGGUUGGUCGCUGAUGGAUUAAUUGGUGUUUGCUUCCUGGCUGCUUUCUUGUCUUGUAGGUACUACUUUCUUGUCUUGUACUAGAGCUGCAUCAGGCCACACACAAGCUAUCCAUCCAACUUGUGUGGAUCUUAAUUUCUGGCAUUGGUUUGAUCUAGCAUAUAAGUACUAUAUAUUCUAUGUAACUAAGGAUGCAUGUGACCUAUCUGAGGCUGUUGCUUUUUUGGUAACCAUCCAUGUAUUUCGAAAGAAGAUGGUGAUAAUAGACGAUGUCUGUCUGUCUUCUUUUUUUGCGAUAUACUAGUGCCAUCUAUCUGCCGGAGCCUGAAUAUAUGGCAGCCAGCAUGAAUAUUUGAUGUGCAAGUAACCGAAUCUGAUUAUGUUAUGUGGGUGACAAUCGAUUCACUUACUAU
rnacentral:lncRNA from 1 species